rnacentral:tRNA from 1 species
GGAAGCGUGCCCGAAAACCACAAGGACUACUUUGAUAGAGUAAACCAUGGAGGAACAACCUCCCACUUCCC